rnacentral:rRNA from 1 species
AACGAACGCUGGCGGCAUGCCUAACACAUGCAAGUCGAACGAAGGCUUCGGCCUUAGUGGCGCACGGGUGCGUAACGCGUGGGAAUCUGCCCUUAGGUUCGGAAUAACAGUUAGAAAUGACUGCUAAUACCGGAUGAUGACGUAAGUCCAAAGAUUUAUCGCCUGAGGAUGAGCCCGCGUAGGAUUAGCUAGUUGGUGUGGUAAAGGCGCACCAAGGCGACGAUCCUUAGCUGGUCUGAGAGGAUGAUCAGCCACACUGGGACUGAGACACGGCCCAGACUCCUACGGGAGGCAGCAGUGGGGAAUAUUGGACAAUGGGCGCAAGCCUGAUCCAGCAAUGCCGCGUGAGUGAUGAAGGCCUUAGGGUUGUAAAGCUCUUUUACCCGUGAUGAUAAUGACAGUAGCUGGAGAAUAAGCCCCGGCUAACUCCGUG